UGGGGAAUAUUGGACAAUGGGGGAAACCCUGAUCCAGCAAUGCCGCGUGUGUGAAGAAGGCCUUCGGGUUGUAAAGCACUUUCGGUUAGAAAGAAUGGCAUGCAGUUAAUACCUGCGUGUUUUGACGUUACUAACAUAAGAAGCACCGGCUAACUCUGUGCCAGCAGCCGCGGUAAUACAGAGGGUGCAAGCGUUAAUCGGAUUUAUUGGGCGUAAAGCGUGCGUAGGCGGACUAAUAAGUUGAGUGUGAAAUCCCUGGGCUCAACCUGGGAACUGCAUUCAAAACUGCUAGUCUAGAGUAUAGAAGAGGAGAGUGGAAUUUCCGGUGUAGCAGUGAAAUGCGUAGAUAUCGGAAGGAACACCAGUGGCGAAGGCGACUCUCUGGUCUAAAACUGACGCU
rnacentral:rRNA from 1 species